rnacentral:rRNA from 1 species
UACGGAGGGUGCGAGCGUUAAUCGAAAUUACUGGGCGUAAAGGGUGUGUAGGUGGCUAUGUAAGUUACUUGUGAAAGUCCCGGGCUUAACCUGGGUUGGACGGGUGAUACUGUGUAGCUAGAGUAUAGGAGAGGGUAGAGGAAUUCCAGGUGUAGCGGUGAAAUGCGUAGAUAUCUGGAGGAACACCGGUGGCGAAGGCGGCAUCCUGGACCGGUAUUGACGCUGAGGCGCGAAAGCCAGGGGAGCAAACGGG